GUCGAACGGGAUUUUUUCCUGUAGCAAUACAGGAAAAAGUCUAGUGGCGAACGGGUGCGUAACACGUGAGCAACCUGCCGUGAAGUGGGGGAUAGCUCGCCGAAAGGCGAAUUAAUACCGCAUGUGGCCAAGGAAGACAUCUUCCUGACGCCAAAGCCGGGGUAACCUGGCGCUUCUCGAGGGGCUCGCGGCCUAUCAGCUUGUUGGUGAGGUAACGGCUCACCAAGGCUAUGACGGGUAGCUGGUCUGAGAGGACGACCAGCCACACUGGAACUGAGACACGGUCCAGACACCUACGGGUGGCAGCAGUCGAGAAUUUUUCACAAUGGGGGAAACCCUGAUGGAGCGACGCCGCGUGGAGGAUGAAGGUUUUCGGAUUGUAAACUCCUGUCAUUAGAGAACAAGGCACAUGGUUUAACUGGCCGUGUGUUGAUAGUAUCUGAAGAGGAAGGGACGGCUAACUCUGUGCCAGCAGCCGCGGUAAUACAGAGGUCUCAAGCGUUGUUCGGAUUCAUUGGGCGUAAAGGGUGCGUAGGUGGCGAGGUAAGUCGGAUGUGAAAUCUCCAAGCUCAACUUGGAAACUGCAUUCGAUACUGCUUUGCUAGAGGAUUGUAGAGGGCAUUGGAAUUCACGGUGUAGCAGUGAAAUGCGUAGAUAUCGUGAGGAAGACCAGUGGCGAAGGCGAAUGCCUGGGCAAUUCCUGACACUGAGGCACGAAGGC
rnacentral:rRNA from 1 species